GCAUAUCAAUAAGCGGAGGAAAAGAAACCAACAGGGAUUGCCCUAGUAACGGCGAGUGAAGCGGCAACAGCUCAAAUUUGAAAUCUGGCUUCGGCCCGAGUUGUAAUUUGCAGAGGAAGCUUUAGGCGCGGCACCAACUGAGUCCCCUGGAACGGGGCGCCACAGAGGGUGAGAGCCCCGUAUAGUUGGACGCCUAGCCUGUGUAAAGCUCCUUCGACGAGUCGAGUAGUUUGGGAAUGCUGCUCAAAAUGGGAGGUAAAUUUCUUCUAAAGCUAAAUACCGGCCAGAGACCGAUAGCGCACAAGUAGAGUGAUCGAAAGAUGAAAAGCACUUUGAAAAGAGGGUUAAAUAGCACGUGAAAUUGUUGAAAGGGAAGCGCUUGUGACCAGACUUGCGCCCGGCUGAUCAUCCGGUGUUCUCACCGGUGCACUCUGCCGGGCUCAGGCCAGCAUCGGUUCUCGCGGGGGGAUAAAGGCCCUGGGAACGUAGCUCCUCCGGGAGUGUUAUAGCCCAGGGCGUAAUGCCCUCGCGGGGACCGAGGUUCGCGCAUCUGCAAGGAUGCUGGCGUAAUGGUCAUCAGCGACCCGUCUUGAAACACGGACCAAGGAGUCAAGGUUUUGCGCGAGUGUUUGGGUGUAAAACCCGCACGCGUAAUGAAAGUGAACGUAGGUGAGAGCUUCGGCGCAUCAUCGACCGAUCCUGAUGUUUUCGGAUGGAUUUGAGUAGGAGCGUUAAGCCUUGGACCCGAAAGAUGGUGAACUAUGCUUGGAUAGGGUGAAGCCAGAGGAAACUCUGGUGGAGGCUCGCAGCGGUUCUGACGUGCAAAUCGAUCGUCAAAUCUGAGCAUGGGGGCGAAAGACUAAUCGAACCAUCUAGUAGCUGGUUACCGCCGAU
rnacentral:rRNA from 1 species